GAACAGCUCUCCGGUGGCAACUCACAACUGUCUGUAACUCCAGUCCCAGGGGAAUCCAAAGUCCUCUUCCGCCCUCCUCUUUACUGCGUGCACAGGGCACACAGACUUACAUCCAGAGGGAAGUGAACAGCGGCCUACACAUGGAUCUGGUGAACAAGAAAAAUACCUUUCCAGAACCUUCCACAUUUACUUAUGUCAGUAAACCUCUGGUCAAGAGGCCCCAGCCUGGGAAUAGAAGGAAGGUCAUUGUGUAUUCUGGGUCAACCCUACCUGGAAGGCUGUGAAGCCUCAGAGGUUCCCAAGAGAAUCAGUAGCCGCGGGUAGAGGAUGGCUCAGAGGUUGUGAGCACUGGUUGCUCUCCCAGAGAAGCCAAGUUCAGUUCUCAGCACAAACGUGGCAAUUAACCACCUCCAUCACCAGGGGAUCCAAUGCCCUCUCCUGGUCUCUGCAUGUACGGUGGGCAUACGCAUGGUGUACAGAUAUGCAUAUGAGGAAGAUGUUCAUAUGAAUAAAAUAAAAAUAAAUAUUUUUUUAAAAAAGA